rnacentral:rRNA from 1 species
UACGUAGGGUGCAGGCGUUAAUCGGAAUUACUGGGCGUAAAGCGUGCGCAGGCGGUUUCUUAAGUCAGAUGUGAAAGCCCCGGGCUCAACCUGGGAAUUGCAUUCGAGACUGCAUUGCUGGAGUACGGAAGAGGAAGGCGGAAUUCCCGGUGUAGCGGUGAAAUGCGUAGAUAUCGGGAGGAACAUCAGUGGCGAAGGCGGCCUUCUGGUCCAGUACUGACACUCAAGUGCGAAAGCGUGGGGAGCAAACAGG